CACAGAGGGGUGGUCCAGGCUGGACAGCUCAAGGUGGCAGAGGGCAGUGGGAGGUCAGGAGAAGGUGCUCAGGACCCACCAAGGGGUCUUUGGCCCCUGCCUUCUGUGUGUGCUUGGAGAAGGGACUUCACUGGUCCCAGAGACAGCUGAUCAGUCCAUCCAGCCUGGCCUGGUGUCCUGGUCCACACGGGGUACAGACCUCCAAGGCUGCCGGGGGCAGGUGUAUGGCUCUGUGUUCCCACGUCCCAAAACCACAUUCAUAAAUGUCACAUUUAUUCACAUUCAGCCAUGUCUGAGGGUCCUUACUGGGCCUCAGCACUGGCUUCCGACCCAGCAGUGGACGCAUGAAUUUUUGCCUGGGGGAUCAGGUGUUGGAGGGAGACAGACAACAGCUAAUGGUGGGUAACUCUGCAGCACGCGGGGGUGGAGCGUGGCAUGGAGAGGCAGGCACACAAAGGAGUGGGAUCAGGGCCACUGCUUGGACAGAACACCCAAGGCCAGGGUCCACCCUGGAGGUGUCAGGGAAGAGAGUGCCAGGGAAGGGGACAGCGGCUGCGCAGGUGAAGGUAGGAGCCCCCUCGACCUCUGGACGCUGGUGGAGCAUGGGCGGGGCAGGGCCCAGUUGGGGGCGGCCCUCGUAGCUGAAAUCGGGCAGACCCUGCCGGGGUGCAGCCCGAUGGAGGUCAGCGUGGUUUUGGGGGCUGGGGGAAGUCGGAAGUAAGGUUUUGGGGUGCAAGUGCAGAGAUGGAGGAGCGGCUGGGCAAAGGCAUGGACACAGGCGUGUGGAGCAGGGGCCUGGGCUGGAGGUGGGCAUUGGGGUGCGUCGGGACCGACCCCGGGGCUCCAAAGGCCGGGGCUGUGGGUGGGGGGAGAGCAGAGGCUGGGUGUCCGUCGGCGAAGGCGCCAUUCUCAUCUCCUCCAGUUUUGUGCCUGGGGCAGCCCGGGAGCUUUUCUGGGCCUGCGUCGGUGGCCGCAGCCCAGCUCCGCCCUGCGGUGCCCACCAGGAGGCUUUGCCGGGGCGGCCAGGACCCCCGAGGGCACGAGCACCGCGGACUCGCGGCUCUGCCCUGCCCCGUCCGGGCCAGCCCUGCCCUGGCGGAGCCCCCUCUCCCGGGGCAGCUUCCGGG
rnacentral:lncRNA from 10 species